rnacentral:hammerhead_ribozyme from 1 species
AUCCAUCUGAAGAGUCCCAAAUAGGAAGAAACUUGCAUCAUGGAU